rnacentral:misc_RNA from 1 species
AACAAGGCGUACCUGCGGACCUGCGGAAGGAUCAUUACAGAGUUGCAAAACUCCCUAAACCAUUGUGAACGUUACCUAAACCGUUGCUUCGGCGGGCGGCCCGGGUCCUUCCCGGCGCCCAUCGGCCCUCGCGGGCGCCCGCCGGAGGUAAACCAAACUAUUGCAUUGUAUGGCCUCUCUGAGUCUUCUGUACCGAAUAAGUCAAAACUUUCAACAACGGAUCUCAGAUCGGAAGAGCAC